UACCCGCAGCACAAGUGGUGGUCAUUAUUAUUGGGCCUAAAGCGUCCGUAGCUGGCUUGUUAGAUGCCUGGGUAAAUCGAUGCGCUUAACGCAUCGAAUUCCGGGUAGACCGGCAAGCUCGAGACCGGGAGAGGUGUGAGGCUACUCGAGGGUAGGGGUAAAAGUCCUGUAAUCCUUCGGGAGGACCAGUGGCGAAGGCGCUACACUAGAACG
rnacentral:rRNA from 1 species